rfam:Rivularia sp. PCC 7116, complete genome.
GUUUCCAUCCCCGUAAGGGGUUAAGGAAUUAAAAC